rnacentral:lncRNA from 1 species
AUAGCCUUGAUGAAAAAAAAGGAAUUGUUAAUAAUUGACCCCUUGUGUGAUGAGAUCAGAUAUGAAAGAACAUGCCUGAGGAAUUGGAGAAACUUCAUCAAACAAUUAACUAGUAAAUCCUCAUCUGAUUGGAACAGUAAAAUUGUGGAGCAUCCCAGACAAAGUGAUGGUCACAACUGUGGACCACUCAUCUUAAAGUUUGCAGAAACAUAUUUGCAGCACAAAGACAUCUGUACGGUGGAAACAACACAGAAGGCUAAUACUGCGUUUAGAAGACAUAUAGCAAUUCUUCUAAUGAAGGAGUCAGAAAGCGUGGAGGACUACUGCAUAUACUGCAACCUUAUCGACUGUGAAAAAGAAAGUGAGGAUUGCACGAUGCAAAGGUCCAGUGUGAUUCUUGCAAGAGGUGGGCACAUAUACCAUGCAUUACAAAAGGAAACAAUCAAGAAAACCUGACAUAUGAGAAGAAAGAGUACAACUUCAAGACAUGUGCAUAGUUCACUUCAUUAACAAAAAGAAAAAAGGCAAUAAAGAAAACCCAUUGCUUAACUGCCUCUUGUUCAAAACAUAAUGCAACCCAAAGAAAUAUAUUUCUAUGUAUACAUCAG